rnacentral:lncRNA from 1 species
UUCGAGGAUACUAACCUCUGUGCAUAGUCACCGCCUCAAGUGAAAAGGAGGUUACAUUAUGCCUAAGACAUGUCAGCUUGCUCUUUAGGAUCUAGAGGCGAGAGGGCUUAGGGUUAUUAAAUGUAAUUCAGUUUAAUAUUUCACGUUUAGGUGUUCGUCAUCUAUUCGUAAUUCUGCUUAUCUUGCUAAUCAGUAUUCAAUCAAAAUGAAAUCAUACUUGUUCAAUUAUAACUGGCUUUGUUAUUAAUUUGUGUUAUUGCGUGUAAUUUCGAGGUUAUUUUCAACUAUAAGUAUUUAAUAAUCUAAUUAUAAUUUUUGUCAAAUGGGCCGUGUUUAAUCGCCGAGGCCCAAUCUAAUUAGUUUUGCGGCCAAUAAAUUGGCGGGAAAUUAUAACGCUGUUCUAGAUAACGUUCUCUUUGUUGAAAUGUUCUCUGGCUUUGCUUGUUUUGUUAAACUGUAUUUGGCAGAGAGCGCCGUAAAAAUGGAGAAAUAUCUGGUAACUAAAAAAGGCCUUGGUAGAGAACGGAUUAAGUUCCUCUUAGGUAAAUUGUGUUUUAAAUGUAUGUAUGUUUCUUUAUAGUAACUGUAAGAAUGACGGAUUAAAGUUCCUCUAGGUAAAUGUGUUUGANAUAAUGUCUAUAGAGCUUAACUCAUGUACUCCUCCUUGGGCUUCCUUCUUCUCAAUUGUCGCUCGUUCGACUCCCCAUGAUUGAUGGUUUUGAGCCAUAUCUUCGAUGAGGGCACUAGCUUCAGGAUAAGGUUUGUUCAUCAGUGCACCGCCCGCGGCAGCGUCGAUGGUUAUUUUAGUGUUAUAAUGAAGUCCAUUAUAGAAGGUCUAAAUGAUUGACCAAUUUUCUAAACCAUGAUGUGGUCAUGCUCUUAACAGCUCUUUAUAUCUCUCCCAAGCUUCGAACAACGAUCCUCCUUGAUUCUGGGUAAAUCUGGUUAUUUGGUUUCGAAGAACGGUGGUCUUACUUGGGGGAAAGUAUCUAGCAAGGAAUACUUUUCUAAGGUUAUCCCAAGUUGUUAUGGAAUUGGGUGAAAGAGAAUCUAACCAUGAUAGGGCUUUAUCUCUGAGGGAGAAAGGGAAUAAUCUUAAACGGAUUGUCUCAGGAGAUGCUCCAUUGGUUUAAAAAGUGUCUGCUAAUUGGAGAAAGAUUUUUAAAUGUUGGUUUGGGUUCUCAGUAGCGAGACCUGCGAACUGUCUCUGUUGCACUAGUUGCAACAGGGAGGGUUUAAGUUCGAAAUUAUUAGCUGGGAUGGUUGGGUUUACUAUACUAGAACUAGGUUCUUCAUUGGAUGGUUGGGCGAAGUCCUUAAGAGGUUUUUGAUUUUGAUAUUCGGCCAUAGCUCUCCUAAUUCUAUGGAAAAAUAAACGUGUGCGAGCGUAACGUUCAGGUUUCGCCAGAGGAUCUACUAAGCUUCCGGUGCUGCGAGUCCUUCGCAUUGACUGGCAGGUAACAACCUAAGUCUAAACGAUAUAACAACAGGGUACGCAAUUUGACGAAAUUGGUCCCCGGCAACGACGCCAAAAACUUGAUGCGUUAUUUUUCGCAAGUGUACGAACGCGUCAGGGUAAUAUAAAAGAUUGUCGAAUCCACAGAGACCAAAUGUCAAUCUAUCGUUAUCUAUUGUUAUGGUGUUUAUCUAAGGUAAUCGAAACAGGGUUUUUAAGAGUGCACAAUGAAAGUAUAUAAAUAAUUAAAUUAAUAAAGACAGGUCGAAUGUAUCAUAAUCAAAUUAAUAAAUCCAAGUACUUGCUAAUAGAAUUACUUCCAUGGCGGAUUUUCUACCUUUGAAAGAACCAAUUUAACGGAACUUCGCUUGCUGUCACGAAAGGUUGUACUCCCUACAACCCUCUUAUUGUUCACUUAUAAAAGGCGCCAUUGCGUUAAGUAUGUAAACCUAUUUUUAAGAAAUAUAGUGUCUUGACUAAGUUGAAAAGUAUUUUGACCUGGAUUUCUUAACCAAAAGAGGUUCUCACGAACCAGACUCUAAACUUAUAAACGCGUCCGAAUAUAGUUUUAAAAUCACUUUUCUUUUUAAGUUAAAAACUCCUAAUGAACUAAACAAAGCGCUUUUGCUGUAUUUGAAAUAGUUAAAAACAACUAAGUUUAAACAGACGUCGGACGACUUUCGAUCUUACCCAACGGAAAUUAAGUGCGGGAAAACUUAAGUUGAAAGUUAAAAUAGCCCUUAAGUGUUUCUACGAACAAUUGCACGGAUUAUCGGUUCAAUUACGAUCCUUACAUUCUAACCUUUAUAGGUUUAGCUAGACAUGGUAAAGUAAAGAUGCAUUUUAAUUUAAAUAAAAGUAGUGUGAGUGUGGGAAAUUAAAUAAAAGUAGUGCGGUGCAAGAAGUAAAUAAAAAUAGUGCAGUGCGCGAAAGUAAACAAAGUAAAGGCAGUGCAGGAAAUAAAUAAAAGUAGUGCGAGUGCGGGAAAGUAAACAAAGUAAAGGCAGUGCGGGAAAUAAAUAAAAGUAGUGCGAGUGUGGGAAAGUAAACAAAGUAAAGGCAGUGCGGGAAAUAAAUAAAGUAAAGUGAGAGUGCGGGAAAGUAAAGUAGACAAAGGUAAAGCAAUAAAACCUGCUCCAAUUGGAGGGUCGAAUAAAGUGCGUAACAGAUAUAAAAAUGGCGGCAGGAUUAACUUCCUUCCAAAGUGCUCCAAACUCGAUUACAGACUCGAUUACACAGUGUGGCAACACUCCGAUGUGAAACGAUUACCACUUUUACACAAUACUGAUAUAUGCCUAGUUGUAACUAAGUUUGGAUGAUGAAACAAAUGGAAUCAAGGCUAUAUUUAUAAGCAAGGAAAAUAAUGGAAAUGACAAGGAUGCCCCUCAGUUUGAAAAUGGGAGGGAAACAUAUUGUUCUUGUGGCGCCCGCACAAGGAAAAUAAUGGAAAUGACAAGGAUGCCCCUCAGUUUGAAAAUGGGAGGGAAACAUAUUGUUCUUGUGGCGCCCGCCACAAGAGGAAAUUGUGGCGCCCAAGUGGAGAUAAUGGGAGAUGUGGCAGUUGAGGAGAAUUUAGAACUGGGACACGUCAUGGCUGGACACAUGGCGCCAGCCACAGUGGGAGCCACAAGUGUAAAAUGUUGAUUUUUAGGCUUUUUAGCUCAUUUUCACUCCUUUUCUCGAUCGGGGCUCCGAUUAGACUGAAAACCUGAAAAUAAAGAAAAACAUAGUAAUAACAUAACAAAAUAACAAUGAAACAACUAAAAUGCAUGCGAAAUCGGAGUCGAAAAUACGGUGAAUUUCAGUGUCAGCAAUGUACUCGACCAGAUGUCUCGUAUGCUUUAAGUGCAGUGAGUAGGUACCAAUCUGAUCCCGGUGAUGCUCAUUGGGUAGCUGUCAAGAAUAUCCUUAAGUAUUUGAGAAGGACUAAGGACCCAUUCUUGAUAUAUAGAGGUCAGGAAGAGCAUGCUGUAAUUGGAUACACCGAUGCUAGCUUCCAGACAGAUAAGGAUGACUUUAGAUCACAAUCUGGUUAUAUGUUUUGCUUAAACGGUGGCUAUGAGCUGGAAAAGUUCAAAGCAAGAUACAGUUGAUGAUUCUACAACCGAGGUCGAGUAUAUUGUUGCCUAAAGUUCAGCAAAGAAAGUUGUUUGGAUCAAAAAGUUCAUUAGUGAACUUGGCACAGUUCCUAGCAUUGUGGAUCCCAUUGGUCUCUAUUGUGAUAACAAUGGUGUUAUCGCACAAGCUAAAGAGCCUAGAUCUCACCAACGAUCCAAACACAUAUUUAGGCGUUAUCACCUCAUUCGAGAGAUAAUAGAUAGAGGAGAUGUGAAAAUAUGCAGAGUACCUACACUUGACAAUAUUGCUGACCCAUUGACAAAGCCUCUUGCGCAACAGAAGUAUGAUGACCAUACUAGAUCUACGAGCAUUAGGGGAAUGCCUGGUUGGCUCUAGUGCUAGUGGGAGAUUGUUGGUGUAAUUCAUAAAGGCCAAUACUUUUGGUACUUGUAUCGAAUUAUUUAUUAAUAAUAAAAGGUUUUUUCUUUAUUAUGUUCGUUUAAUAAAGUCCCUAGAAUAACUAGUCCGUUUAAUGUAUCAAGUGUGACUUAAUCAUGAGAUCCCAUUAAACAUAAGGACACUAUUCUUAAAGUAUUCAUAGUCGAGCUUUAUUGUAAAGUGGGAUAACAUUAAAGCAUUAAGGCUAUUAUGUAUAUAGACUGAUGAUCACAUCUCAUGGAUCAUGGAUAAGGAGUUAUCAAGUCUUAAACAUAUGUAUGAAUAUUAAGAGUAAUAUUUAUACUGGAUUGACCCGCUAUGAGAAUACUAUAUAAUAAGGAGUUAUCAAGUCUUAAACAUAUGUAUGAAUAUUAAGAGUAAUAUUUAUACUGGAUUGACCCGCUAUGAGAAUACUAUAUAGAAUGUUAUGCAAAAUGUCAUAAGUUAUUCUCAUGGUGAUAUUAGUGUAUACCGCCAUUCGACCUGAAACCACUAUGGACCCUAGAUGUAUAGUCAAGUGCCUUAUUGCUGAUCAAACAUUGUCCGUAACUAGAUGACCAUAAAGACAAUUGAUGGGUACUCCACGAAGCAUGCUGAGGGACAUAAGUGACCUAGAUGGAAUUUGCCCAUCCUGCGUAACAGGAUAAAUGUCUAAGGGCCCAAUAUUGAAUUGGACAAGGAUGACACGGUCUAUGCCUUGUGUUCAAUAUAUACAUAAGGGCAAAAAGGGUAAUUAUACACAUAAGUAUUAUCACAAAAGGAUUUGUCAGAUCACAUGACAUUUUCGUGCCUUGGGUAGUAGUGAUGUGUUGCUAGAUACCACUCACUGUUUAUUAUGUUAAAUACGUGAUUUAAUAUAAUUGCUAAUGUCGCGAAAAGCCUACAGGGUCACACACAAAAGGACGGAUUGAUGAGAGAUAUAGUAAAUAAGGAACACCGUAAGGUACGAUGCACUUAAGUGAAUUGUAGAACAUCGUAAGGUACGAUAUACUUAAGUAGAAUACGAAAUAUGGUAAGGUACCACACAUUUAAGUGAUUUUGGCAUAUCAUAAGAUAUGGGCCACAUACGGUUAAAUGGGCUUUUUAGCUUGCAGCCCACACAGGUGAUUCUAUAAAUAGACCCCUUAUGCAGAAGCAUUGGUGCAGUUGAAAUUUUGUCUCUCUCUCUCUCUCUUACUCAAAGCCUUCAUUUGUAGCAUCUAGCGCUGAGAUUGAAUGAAUUUGUUCGUGUGGACUGAGUAGAGGUGUUGUUACCAUUCAACAUUCAUGAUCACUCCUUAGAUCUGCAUCCAAGGUUUCAAUCGCCACAAGAGGUAACGAUUCUAUCACUGAUCAUGCCCAUUCGUAAGGAUCACUAAAGAAGAACUUUUUUUUAUUUCCGUUGCAUUUUGGAUCGCUAUUAUCCUACACAUUCAUCUGUGACCAACUGUUGGGCUUAGAGGAUUUUAUUAGGACCCUUACAUAUGGACCUUGCCCUAUCUCUUGAAACUUUGCCCUAACUUGGAUUUUCAUUUGUAACUUGCAAUCUUUUAUUGUAAGAAUGACAUCAUGACACUACCCUAGGGAGACAAGUUUUGUAAGCCCAUUAUCCACUUGUUAGCAUAUGUCACUAUAUACACACAAGGCUUUCUCUUGGGAUAUCUUACAACGAGACCCUUUAUUUCUUGUUUUGAUUACUUUAUAAAUAUCCAUGUACGCCACCAUUUCAAAAUCAAAAUCAAUAAACCCUUAAUUCAACGUCAAGCUAAAUUUUCUUAAUCAAAUCCAAAAAUACAAUAAAAAUAUGAUUAGUAUUGUGCGCCACAAGCCUUAAGUGGUGAGGAACGAGUAAGUAUGAAGCUCUCAUACCCUUACUUUGAUUAUUUUGGACACAAGACGCUUGACUUGUUUAUCUAAAAUAUUCGCCUCAGCCCAUAGUCUUUAGUGCAAUCUAAUCACAAAUAAUCUUUUCAUAAACCCUAAAAUCAACAUCAACCCAUCAAACUCAUUUUCGCACCUUAGAACAUCACACUGAAAACCCCUUUUCAAGGUAAAAUCAACCAACACACAAACAUUUUCUACUUCAAAAUACGGAGCUUUGAUUCUUCAUCCCCCGAUGAAUGAUACAUAUGUACAAGGGCCUCAAUCCUUGGUGAGUACAAUAAUAAAAAACCUCAAUCUCAUUCUUUCCCAUUUUCUUAAUUAUAUUAGUUAUUUUAUCAAUUAAGUCCCUUAAAUAAUUAAGUGAUCAAAUACAGUUAAAAGACUGAUUAGAUUUCAUUUAGAAAUUAUUUAACUAAUUAAUUAAUUAAAUAUUAGAUAUGAACUCAAAUAUGAGUGGAUGUCAGGAUAACCCAUUUGAGAAUAAUGAAAAUCCUAAUUGGCCAUCACACUAUAUAUAGGCUAUGAUCCCCAAUAUACCGUACACAAGCAAACAAAUUCUUCUCCCUAUCUUAAGAGAAUUCAAGGCAUUAAGGUACAUGUUGAGGAAGAACCAAAUAAAUCGUCAAAACCCUUUUGUGUUUCAGGAUUACUGUCAAAAGACCUUUCUCCAUGGAUCCAAGUAUUCCCAAUGGUCAUCUUGUCGAUCCUGUAAUUUUAUACAUGCUUGUAUGACUAUUUUGAUUAUGCAUAAAAUAUAUGUCAUAAUAUCUUAAGCAUGUAUGUCUAUGGUUAUUUAUUAAUUUAAUUUUCUAACAAGAAGUUCAUCCUGCGACAAGGGUUCAGAAAUUUGAAGUUUUGAUGUAUGUUGAAAAGGAAGAAAAAAAAGUAAAAACCGACUAUAAGUAUUGAUUUGUUUUCAUAAUUUGAUAAUUGGUAUGUUUCACCUAAGGAUUUGCAUUAACAUUACCUCAUCCAACUUAAGAUUGUCCCUUAUUUUCUUACGCGAUUCUUCAUUAUAUCUGAAUCCAACAACAAACAAUCUCCCAUACUUUAGUUGAAAACAUCUAUAAUUGCCAACUCUUUCUUCAAAAUUGCAUCAAGUGGAUAAGGAAAUUCAAUGGGGUUAUCUUAACUAAACUGAAAUCAUAAAAAACUUUGCUAACAAUUCAGAUAUAAAGAAUAUGUUUUGAACUAAGAGAUGUAAAUAUCUCAAUCAAUUGCCUAUUCAGCUUAAGGGCAGAUUUUCCCACCAGCAUGACACAAUUGUUGUCCCAAAAAAUAAACUUUGCCCUGAAUUUGUCAUCCACGCUCAGAACUUCAAGUUUGUAUCUAUAACAAAUUUGGUAUACAAAAUCAAUUUUCAAACAUGACAUAAUAUUUCAUACUAUGAAUACUAAUAAUCAUUCAGUUCAAAAAGACACCUUGGGAUGAGUUCAACAGUUUCAUGAUUGGCAAAACACUUCAACUGUCCAUCUUUAAGGGCAACACUUCUGGUACACUCACCACAACCAUCAUAAUACCACAUAGAUUAACCAACCUCAAAUUUUUCUAACAUGCUAACAGUUGCACAGGUUGUCUCCUAGUAUGAUGCAAUAGAACAUAUUGUGAAAAAACAAAACUGAAGGAUAAUGUAUCGAUGGGAAAACAUAUACUUACAUUCUGAAGAUUGUUGAUUUUUGCAAGGCUUAGAUUUUCAACUUUCCAUAAAAACUUAGCAAUGUCUCGAUAUUGUGAGUUUUAAGUCAUGUCAAGUUGCAUGUUUGACAUAAAUAAUAAAUGAAUUUCCCCUUGAAGGCUGAGAUUUAUAAAGACAAACACGAAUGUCAUACAUAAAUGAAGAUUUAACAUUAAUAUAACAUAUAAGAUAAUAAAUAUACAAAAAUGCGACCACCUUUCUUUUAACUUCUUAAUCUAAAGUACAUUGACAUUAUUGGUAGUUAUCUUGGUGCCAUUCUAUGCGUUGGAUACAUUCAAGGGAAAAUCUCAUAUAUAUUUGUACAUUAGAUUAAGAGAGUUUAUAUAUAUUGGAAAAUAAGUGAAAAAAUCUAUUUACUAUAGGGUUUUACAAAUAGCCAACAUCAAUACCUUGAGCUCCCUUGAUUUUUGCAUUUUGCAAUAGUAUAAUAACAUUAUCAACAUCCUUGUUACUGUUGUAGUAAUUGUAGAAUUGUGAUGCAAGCUCAUCCAAAAAAGUACAUUGAACCAAAGACUUACUGCAGUAAAAGAAUCCAACAAACAUUCAAUAAGGUAAAUUUAUAGUUAGAACAAUUCCUAAUUGAGAAUAAUAAGAAAAUACCUCAUAUUAGUGAUAGCAAAGACAACUUUGUUUUUGUUGUUCUCAACAUUCAUUUGAGUCUGAAUGAUCUCAGUUACUCCUCCAAUGACAUCUAAAUAAAAUAAAAUUACUAAUGUAAGAAACAUAAAUUUAAAGGAUUAAAUAUGAAAACAACAAAGUUAUAUGAUUAAAUUACCAAUUAAGAAAUCAGGUUGGCACCUCCCUGCAAUGAUGGGUGUCAAACUAAUCAAUUUUAAAUGGUUUAGCGGUAUGUCAGGCAAAUCAAUAACUUUUGCAAAAGUUGCACCAUAAAAGUUAACUUGAAACAAUGAGUGGUUGCUUUAAAUGAGAAAUCAUUAUUGACAACUUUGAAAUUCUGCAUGAUAUAUGUAUUUCCAACUAUAAGUGUAGACUUGUGCUUUGAAACAAAAUGUGAUGGUAUAAUUACUUGAAUCAUGUCGCACUAAAAAUUCAAAUAUAAAUAACACUCAUGAGAUACAAAGACGAACUUCAAUUAAUAAAGAACUACAUAUAUUUUGUUUGUAAAGUGAGAUAUCAUCAUACCUUUGCAUAAACUAAAACCAUUUUAAAAUGCUCCUCGUUAGAGACACUUUUGACAGACCACAAAUCUCUAAUCCUAACAACAAUCUUCCACAAAUCUUUGGAAUCAUUGAUAUCCCUAACAUUUUUAAUUGGGCGUGCCAUUUGCUUAGUAUGAUAACCUGAAACAACAAUAAAGAUUGAACAACAUUCAACAAAAUUUAAUGGAUUUUCCAAACAGUGAAAUGCUUUUGAACUCAUAUGUUGUCAUCUUCCAGAUACCAGUAAUAAUAUGAAUUAUAUGAGAUAUUUUCAUGAACAUUGAAAAUAUUUUAAGCAAACAUCAUGUUUUCCAAAGUCAGAAGUAUAUGAACAUCAAUGGCAGAUCUGAAAUGUUCGUGUUUCCAAAAACAACUUUUGAACAACUUUGAACAAAUAGAAGGUAUAAUCCACAAUAUAAAUCCAUAUGAAGUUCAACCUUGAGCAAACAAAGAAGGAAGGCAAUAAUAACAAUCACGUUUAUGAACAACCAUGACAUCUUUGAGCAUGAGUUUUCCACAAAAAAAAUAUUAAACAACUCUUAACGUAAUGAAUAUGCAAAUUUUGAACAACAACAAAGAGUAACAAUCAAAGAUUGAACACAAACUGCGACCGGUUGAACAAAGAUAUAACAAAACCGAUGGAACAAAGAGUAAAAAUCACCUUCUUGCAACGAAAGUGGAAAACUUCUCCCCGUGCUGUACAGAAUAGGGCGGAACCUGCAACGACGGUGGAGUUAGGGACGGAUGUGGCAAAGUGAAGACUAGAACGAAACAAAAGCUGCACCGGCGUUGGAGUUAGUUCUGACGGUGGCGUAGGGGACGAUGGUGGGGCAAUGGAGAGAAUUUUUUUUGAAUAUUUGGAAUGUCUUUUAAUAUUUCAUCAAAGUGCCUUUUGAGUACUCUAUGCAUGGAGUAGAGUGAAAUGUGGAUUUGAUUUUUAAAGUUGAAAAGAUCCUUUUAAGUUUUGCAUGAAAUUGAAAAACUAAAUUAAGUAUGUUUAGAUCGAAAUAACCCUCUAAUUAAAAAAAAGGAUUAAAAAGGGUUUAAUGGUAAACUACAAAGCAUAAUCUUUUAAUAGAUAAAUACUAGAUGCAUGCAGAUGCUCUAGAUGGUUUUAAGAAAAAUUCUCCUUAAAAAAAUUUAUUUUAAAACUUGAAAAAAUAAAUAAAUGAUCUUAAUAGUACUUUAAAUUUUUUGAAGGAAGAACAUGCUUCUCUCGUGGAUGAGCGUUUUAGUACUUGUAAUACUUUACUAGUUAAAAAAAUAAGAAAUACAUAUUUUGUUACUUAUCCAAUUUUAAAACUUAGAAAAUAAAAAUCUCAAAGGAGAAUUGAUAUAAACUACUUCUUUAUCUACUACUAAUUAUAAAAAUUUAUUUAAAACUUAAAAAUAAAAAUCCCCAAAAGACAAUUGAUAUAAGUUAUUUCUCUGUCUACUAUUAAUUCUAAAAAGUUAUUUUAUCUCAUCAAAACUUUUGAUCAUAUCUUUAAUAAUAAAAUUAAUAUUAAAUUAUAUAAUUUCCCGAUUAAAAGAAUUCAACAUCUCCUCUUUCACUUACUCUAUUAAAAAAUACUUUAUUUAUUUUUAUUUUUAUUCUAUUAUUUUUUUAUAGAAAAAACUACAUCUAUAAACUUAUCCGGGAUAGCUAUAUUUGUUCUUUCAUAGUGUCACACGGAUCACAAUCCGUGCCAUCAGUUAACUAGAUACUACAUCCGUCGAUUAAGAUUCUCAUCCACGGUCACAAUAGCACAUCAAUAAAAUUCAACAAAACUACACAAAUUUAAAAAAAAACAUUUCAAACCUCCCGCCCCACCUUUUUACAAAUUUCUACACCUUAUAUAUACACCUCCCCUUACAUUAACAUUUCAUCAAGCAAAAACAAUUCAAGCUCUUAUCAAUUUUCGAUUUUCAAUUUUCAAUUUUCAAUUUCAAUGGCUCGUACCAAGCAAACCGCCAGGAAAUCCACCGGAGGAAAAGCCCCAAGGAAGCAGCUAGCCACUAAAGCUGCUCGCAAGUCAGCUCCUGCCACCGGAGGAGUUAAGAAGCCUCACCGUUUCAGGCCCGGAACCGUCGCUCUUAGAGAAAUCCGCAAGUACCAGAAGAGUACCGAGCUUCUCAUCAGGAAGCUUCCAUUCCAGAGACUUGUAAGGGAAAUCGCUCAGGACUUCAAGACUGAUCUCCGCUUCCAGAGCAGCGCUGUUUCCGCUCUUCAAGAAGCCGCCGAGGCUUACUUGGUUGGUUUGUUCGAGGAUACUAACCUCUGUGCCAUUCACGCCAAGAGAGUUACCAUUAUGCCUAAGGACAUUCAGCUUGCUCGUAGGAUCAGAGGCGAGAGGGCUUAGGGUUAUUAAUGUAAUUCAGUUUAAUAUUUCACGUUUAGGGUUUCGUCAUCUAUAUGUAAUCGCAUCUUGCUAUCAGUAUUAAUCAAAUGAAAUAACUUGUUUCAUUAUAUCUGGCUUUGUUAUUAUUUGUUUAUUGCGUUAAUUCGAUUAUUUUCA